AAAACACGGCUGCGAAUUCUUUGACACUCCAUCCGUGGAAAAGUGGGGAUCUAUGUCAUCUCCCCUUGAAUCUGGGUGGGCUUGUGACUGCUUGUGUCUGACAAUAGAAACCAUGGAAGUGAUGCCAUGUGACUUCUGAGGCUGGGUCACAAAAGGCCACGCAGCUUCCAUGUUUCCUGGAACAGUCCUUCUUGGAGCUGUUAAAAAAAAAAAUUCAACUGAGGACACUUUAAAGAUCUUAUUGGCUUUAUUCAAUGAUUCAUGAAUCGGGCAGCAUCCAGUCUAGCAGAUAGAAAGGAGCUCCAAGGAGCUGUAUAAAAUGAAAGACUUUCACAGGCAGAAGGGAGAAGGAACAAGGAAAAUAUACCAUGCAAAAACGAACCCUGAAUCUCUGUGUAAGAAGUCUGGAAACCCUGAAGCUGCCAUGCUGGAGAGACCACGUGGAGGUGCUUGAGUCCCAGUCCCAGCUGAACUCCUUCCAGCCUUCCCCACGAAGGCACCUGACAGCUCCAUUUCCUCAAGGCUGAUGCUGGUAAUGCUGUGUCUUCAUCCGGAGGCCAGUAAGUUAGCUAAAAACGAUGAGAGAAUGCUGUGUUCUCCUGUACCUAAUGUUCACUCGAUGUCCAGUGGCCACCGCUCAAUGACUCCUGUCCCCUUGGGCUUCAGCCCCAAUCCCACUAGCUCAUUUCUCUUCAGUCCUGGGCAUGUGAAACAAGCUGCUCUAAAUCAUAACAGAAACCAGCAGGUCUUUCCAGUGAGUUUGGCUGCCUUUCCUGCUCUGACCUCCUUUUAGCAGUAGGAAGAUUGCCAUCAACUCCUCAUCAUUUUGUCAAAUGAAAAAGACUUGGAUUUGGGCCCCCUCCAUUCCCAAGAAGAAAAUGGAUUUCCUAGGGCCUGGGCAAAGUCAUUGUUGUUACUGAUUUUAAUUGGUGAUUAAGCUCUGAACACCUUGAGAAUUAAGCUAGUUUUGAUAGCCCAGAUCUACAGGAAGCCAAAUUGUCACAGUUCUGCAUACUUACCAUGUGUUAAAGUGACAUUUCAGAUAUCUUUCCAUCUAAUUUUGGAGAAUUUUUGUUUGAUUUUGCACUUGGUGAAUGUUAAUAGUAUGUGGGGGUUAUGUGUGCUGAAUACAUUGACAUUUUCUCUCAUGAAUGAAGAACCAUAUCUCUUCUACCCAACGACAACUUUUGCUGUGUUCUGGGUGCAACUGGUGCAGAGGAUUGUGGGACAAGACCCCUGGCUAUAUUCUUUGCUUCAAUUCCUCUGUCCUCUGGCAGUUUCAUCUCACAGUGCUCAGGAACCAGGAGCCCCAGGGGAAACCUCAUUAGGCAGCCACUUGUCCCUGAGGGUUCAGAGCAUCCGCUGUAAGCUGCAUGGGAAGGGAGAUCAAGCUCUGUCGAGUCAUGUGGUGUCAGCUCAUGAGCACAAGAAUGUGCUCCAGAAUCC
rnacentral:lncRNA from 1 species